CGUCGCAAAUCAUUCAGAGCGAUUAGCUUGGGGGACCUCAGAGGCACAUAAAGACGUCAUGUCGUCCGUCUUCGAUGGUUUAUUAGUUUACAACGGGUAAACAUUAAACAAUGUCGCGCGCGGGCGCGGUGGGGUGUGGGUGCGCAGUGCCGACGCCGCAGCCCAGCAGGCCAAGCGAGCGGAGGAGGGUCCGCGGUCCCGCGGCGCCGCGGCCGCGACCCGACGACGCGCAUAACGGCGCGGCGUCCGCGCCGCCAUAGCGCACGGGAUCGGAGUCUUCUCCGGUUGCCGGACAGCCUCACACGUCGUGCAGGAGGACAUAAUUGUCUUGCGCUACAAUGCUUCUCACAUUUUGAUUAUGGCGAGACAGUCUAUCAAAGUCCAGUUAUCGGUGCAAGCACCCCCCCCCCUCAUCCCCCUGGUAAAUCUGAAGCAAGAAUCGUGUUCUAAUCAGCCUCAUGGAAGCAAAUACAGCGUACAACUCAUAAGUACGGUACAAUAAA